rnacentral:rRNA from 1 species
AUUGAACGCUGGCGGCAUGAUUUACACAUGCAAGUCGAACGGUAACAGGCCGCAAGGUGCUGACGAGUGGCGCACGGGUGAGUAAUGCAUCGGAACGUGCCCCGUCGUGGGGGAUAACUACUCGAACGAGUAGCUAAUACCGCAUACGAUCUAUGGAUGAAAGCGGGGGACCGUAAGGCCUCGCGCGAUUGCAGCGGCCGAUGUCAGAUUAGGUAGUUGGUGGGGUAAAGGCUCACCAAGCCAACGAUCUGUAGCUGGUCUGAGAGGACGACCAGCCACACUGGGACUGAGACACGGCCCAGACUCCUACGGGGGGCAGCAGUGGGGAAUUUUGGACAAUGGGCACAAGCCUGAUCCAGCAAUGCCGCGUGCAGGAAGAAGGCCUUCGGGUUGUAAACUGCUUUUGUACGGAACGAAACGGCUCUGGUUAAUACCCGGGGCUAAUGACGGUACCGUAAGAAUAAGCACCGGCUAACUACGUG